rnacentral:rRNA from 1 species
UACAGAGGGUGCGAGCGUUAAUCGGAAUUACUGGGCGUAAAGCGUGCGUAGACGGCUAUCUAAGUCGGGUGUGAAAGCCCCGGGCUCAACCUGGGAAUUGCAUUCGAGACUGAAUAGCUAGGGUACGGUAGAGGGAAGCGGAAUUUCCGGUGUAGCGGUGAAAUGCGUAGAUAUCUGGAGGAACACCGGUGGCGAAGGCGGCAUCCUGGACCGGCAUUGACGCUGAGGCGCGAAAGCUAGGGGAGCAAACGGG